UCCUAGCCUAUAAAUAGCAGAAGA
rnacentral:siRNA from 1 species